rnacentral:lncRNA from 10 species
AGGGCAUCUAGUUUAUGGUGUGAUUUCUACUACAUAUUAAGGAACUUGGAAAUUAUCCUGAAAGCAACAAGCAAUCUGUCUCCAGGGGCAGCAGGAUCAAGUAUGUAUUUAAUAAGACAAUACCAUCAAAGAAACAGAUGAUGAGGAAAAGAGAGGGACUAAACAGAAGGCAGAGACGGAAACAAGGUCAAGAAAAGGCUUCUCCUUGACCAGAAUGGAAGAUACCCGAAUUUACUUAUUUGCUGAGGGGAUGGAAAGGGAGCAAGGAGGGUAAGGCUUAAUUAAGAUGCAAGAGAACAAGAGCAGAAGAGCAAGAGAUUAGAAUGCAGUCGCAAAGAGACAGAGAGAGAUUCGAGUACAGUCACAAAAGAAACUAAAAUGAAUAAAGUCAAAAUGGGAAGGACUGGCCUAGGACAGAAUGAGGGACAGUUGAUCCUCUGGCAGAGAGGUAAAGGAAGUAAGGAAAGACAUGGAACAGAUAACUUAUAAGAGAAUUAGGGGAGAGUGGGGUUACCUUUCACAACAUAUUAAUGCUCGUUAAAUAAAUGCUGGGAAAAAUUUUUGUUUAUUGAAUUUCUUAUCCUUAC